rnacentral:tRNA from 1 species
GGGCGUAUAGCUCAAUGGUAGAGCAACGCUCUUAUAAGGCGUCGGUUCCAGGUUCGAAUCCUGGUACGCCCA